CAAUACGACUCUCGGCAACGGAUAUCUCGGCUCUCGCAUCGAUGAAGAACGUAGCGAAAUGCGAUACUUGGUGUGAAUUGCAGAAUCCCGUGAACCAUCGAGUCUUUGAACGCAAGUUGCGCCCCAAGCCGUUAGGCCGAGGGCACGUCUGCCUGGGUGUCACGC
rnacentral:rRNA from 1 species